GCAUUUGAUUAGGCAUACAUACUCGAUGA
rnacentral:piRNA from 1 species